AGCAACCUGUCUCAACAAACGUUUGGCUUAGCAAUGCUCCAUAAAAAAGACCUCCCAGGACAGCAAACCCUGGAAGCUUCUAGAUAUGAAUGUUACCGUCAAGGAAAUAAGAUGGAAUCCCAUCAUGAUGAUCUAUAAAGGAGUAGAGCGUCCUGUCAAAGGACUUGAGAAGGCCCGAAUAAAGGAGGGUAGAAGGCCCGAAAUGACAGAGAGCUUGAGGCAACAGUCUCUGUUACCCGUGGAAUAAUCCAGCCCUGACAAAGCCAUCAGUCUUCAUACCACAAGUGACAUAUAAGCCUAUCGAAUUUUGAGGAGAAAUCCCAUGGGCGACUGGUUAGGCAUGUUGAUCAAAAGAUGAAUGGAAAGUGGAAGAUGCCUAAAGCAGGAGAGGAUGAUGAAGACUUCUGGGAGCAAGUUAGGAUUUCACCCCCAAGGAGACAAUGAGAGAAAACAUGUAUGACAGGAAUUUUUAACCAGAUUUCCCUGACUGGUGGGAGAGACACAAUGACGUGUGCUCCUGAAAUGUGACACUACCAUACGAACAUCAUUUAUAAAGAAGGAGUUGAAGAUUUCAUUACAUGUAGGUGUUGCUAAUUUAUGUAUUUAUACUAUUUUAUGGCCUAUUUAUAAAAUAUUACAAAUUAUCAAGAGGUUACCAUGGAGCUUGUGUUACCGUACAGUGAAAUUUCCUAGCGAUUGAA